UUAAAGUGACGUUCAUUUUGUUUCGUGCGAUGAUUUUCUUGUAAACAGGUUAGUUUGAGAGAUCCUCUCCGGUCUGGUGCUGAUGACGAGGCACUCAGGGAAAUUAUAGGCGCUGCUGUGAAGAGGAAGAAAGCCGCACACGCUGGAAUGCUUGACAUUGCCAAAACAGCUAAUAGACCAAUGAUACACAUUGGUGGCUAAGCUCCACUGAACGUUGGUGAAGUUCCUGAAAAUUCACUACAAGGAACGUUUGAGUUUUAUAGAUAGUAAGAAUCUAUCCGCUGGUCCCAACUCUGUGACAAACUUUUUUGCAAACAAGAAGACUGAAGUGUGUCUCAAAAUGUUUCUUCUCUGUAUACGUAACAGACACUAGAACACCACUGUACAGGAACUCAGAACCUUUUCAGUCCAAUUACUUUUCUUA